GAACGCGAAGAACCUUACCUAAGCUUGACAUCCCUCGGACAGGUGUUUAAUCACACCCUUCCUUCGGGACUGAGGUGACAGGUGGUGCAUGGUUGUCGUCAGCUCGUGUCGUGAGAUGUUGGGUUAAGUCCCGCAACGAGCGCAACCCUUGUCUUUAGUUGCCAGCAUUCAGUUGGGCACUCUAGAGAGACUGCCAGGGAUAACCUGAGGAAGGUGGGGAUGACGUCAAAUCAUCAUGCCCCUUAUGCUUAGGGCUACACACGUGCUACAAUGGGUGGUACAGAGGGUUGCCAAACCGCGAGGUGGAGCCAAUCCCUUAAAGCCAUUCUCAGUUCGGAUUGUAGGCUGAAACUCGCCUACAUGAAGCUGGAGUUACUAGUAAUCGCAGAUCAGAAUGCUGCGGUGAAUGCGUUCCCGGGUCUUGUACACACC
rnacentral:rRNA from 1 species